AUUGAACGCUGGCGGCAGGCCUAACACAUGCAAGUCGAACGGUAACAGGAAGCAGCUUGCUGCUUCGCUGACGAGUGGCGGACGGGUGAGUAAUGUCUGGGAAGCUGCCUGAUGGAGGGGGAUAACUACUGGAAACGGUAGCUAAUACCGCAUAAUGUCGCAAGCCCAAAGAGGGGGACCUUCGGGCCUCUUGCCAUCGGAUGUGCCCAGAUGGGAUUAGCUUGUUGGUGGGGUAACGGCUCACCAAGGCGACGAUCCCUAGCUGGUCUGAGAGGAUGACCAGCCGCACUGGAACUGAGACACGGUCCAGACUCCUGCGGGAGGCAGCAGUGGGGAAUAUUGCACAAUGGGCGCAAGCCUGAUGCAGCCAUGCCGCGUGUAUGAAGAAGGCCUUCGGGUUGUAAAGUACUUUCAGCGGGGAGGAAGGGAGUAAAGUUAAUACCUUUGCUCAUUGACGUUACCCGCAGAAGAAGCACCGGCUAACUCCGUG
rnacentral:rRNA from 1 species